rnacentral:rRNA from 1 species
AUGAACCCUGCGCGUCAGGAGAUCGACAACCUGCUUGGGCUGCUACAACACUUCGGCGAUGCCACGGGCCUCUGUGUCAACCUAGCCAAAUCAUCGAUUAUUACCAUCAGCUGCGACGACAUCGACCUAGGUAGGGUUCUACAAAACUUUGGGGGCCAUACGACGAUCUUCCCUAUAAGAUACCUAGGCCUUCGAGUCACUAUCAGCCGUAUUAGGUUAGUCCACUUUCAAUACAUCUUCGACAAGAUUAGAGCACACCUCGCGGGCUGGAAGGGCAGGCUGAUGCCCCUGGCAAGCCGGCGCGUUCUUGUGUGCUGCGUGCUCUCGAUCGUGCCUACUUUAGCGAUCACGGUGCUGCGGGUGCUGAAAAAGUUCUUCUAG